AUUGAACGCUGGCGGCAGGCCUAACACAUGCAAGUCGAGCGAGCGGCGGACGGGUGAGUAAUGUAUGGGGAACUGCCUGAUGGAGGGGGAUAACUACUGGAAACGGUAGCUCAUACCGCAUACCCUCAGAUGAACCCAUAUGGGAUUAGCUUGUAGGGGAGGUAACGGCUCACCUAGGCGACGCUCCCUAGCUGGUCUGAGAGGAUGAUCAGCCACUCUGUGACUGAGACACGGCCCAGACUCCUACGGGAGGCAGCAGUGGGGAAUAUUGCACAAUGGGCGCAAGCCUGAUGCAGCCAUGCCGCGUGUAUGAAGAAGGCCUUAGGGUGGUAAAGUACUUUCAGCGGGGAGGCGUUACCCGCAGAAGAAGCACCGGCUAACUCCGUGCCAGCAGCCGCGGUAAUAC
rnacentral:rRNA from 1 species